UACAAAUACCGACUAACGCAUCGGAUCCCAUCAAAACCCCGAAGUUAAGUGUGCUUGGGCGAGAGUAGUACUAGGAUGGGUGUACCCCUCAUUGGAUGAUUGCGUAUUAGAGGUAU
rnacentral:rRNA from 1 species